UACAACAUAGAAUUAAUGCAACAUAUCCCAUUAGAACUCCAUAGUUAAGCACACUCAUUAUAGAGUAGUACUGGGAUGGGUGAUCACUUGGUAAGUCCUAGUGUUUUAC
rnacentral:rRNA from 1 species